GUCGAACGGCAGCAUAGGAGCUUGCUCCUGAUGGCGAGUGGCGAACGAGGUGAGUAAUAUAUCGGAACGUGCCCUAGAGUGGGGGAUAACUAGUCGAAAGAUUAGCUAAUACCGCAUACGAUCUACGGAUGAAAGUGGGGGAUCGCAAGACCUCAUGCUCCUGGAGCGGCCGAUAUCUGAUUAGCUAGUUGGUGGGGUAAAAGCCUACCAAGGCGACGAUCAGUAGCUGGUCUGAGAGGACGACCAGCCACACUGGGACUGAGACACGGCCCAGACUCNUACGGGAGGCAGCAGUGGGGAAUUUUGGACAAUGGGGGCAACCCUGAUCCAGCAAUGCCGCGUGAGUGAAGAAGGCCUUCGGGUUGUAAAGCUCUUUUGUCAGGGAAGAAACGGUGGUAGCUAAUAUCUACUACUAAUGACGGUACCUGAAGAAUAAGCACCGGCUAACUACGUGCCAGCAGCCGCGGUAAUACGUAGGGUGCAAGCGUUAAUCGGAAUUACUGGGCGUAAAGCGUGCGCAGGCGGUUGUGUAAGACAGAUGUGAAAUCCCCGGGCUCAACCUGGGAAUUGCAUUUGUGACUGCACGGCUAGAGUGUGUCANAGGGGGGUAGAAUUCCACGUGUAGCAGUGAAAUGCGUAGAUAUGUGGAGGAAUACCGAUGGCNAAGGCAGCCCCCUGGGAUAACACUGACGCUCAUGCACGAAAGC
rnacentral:rRNA from 1 species